CACGCUGUAAACGAUGAGAACUAGGUGUCGUGGGUGUUGACCCCCGCGGUGCCGUAGCUAACGCAUUAAGUUCUCCGCCUGGGAAGUACGGUCGCAAGAUUAAAACUCAAAGGAAUUGACGGGGGCCCGCACAAGCGGUGGAGCAUGUGGUUUAAUUCGACGCAACGCGCAGAACCUUACCCAGACUUGACAUCCUGGAAAGCUGGCCCAAAAGUCGGCGUGCCCGCAAGGGAAUCCAGAGACAGGUGC
rnacentral:rRNA from 1 species